CCAAAACAUCAUCCCUUUCUCGCCUUCGAAGACUUUUGCUUUCUCUGUGGCCAUGCAAGAUCUCCUCCUUAUCAGUGUGGUCACUCCUUAAAUAUUCAUCAUCUUUCACUUUCUUGCUAUGGUGAUCAUCCGCUAUGUCAUACCUACUCUUCAAAUUAUCUUCCCUUUCCCUGUGCCUUGAGCCACCAUCCUUGUCGUAAUGGACCCUGUAGCUGCCAUAUUGUCCAACUGUUUUCUUGAAUGAAGAUAUUCCUCUCUGUCGCUUCUCUCACCUUCCCAUAUCUUACUUCUGUGCCUGGAUCCCAAUUCAUCUCCCCGUUCCCUCUUCCUUGUGUCUUCAGUCCUACACUUUCUGCUAUGCGGAUCUUCCUCCCUCCAUUGCCAAGAUCCAUCAGGGUUUUCUCGUUCCUUUCGCCUAUCAUAGCUGUCGUUUCUUAUAUGCAAAUGAUGUGUCAAGCUAGGGUCCAAAUCUCUACGAGGAUAAGAACCCUCCCUACCUUUUAUUACCAUGUGAUUUCUUUCCAUCUCUUGUCUAGCAUCACGUUCUUUUCUUUGGAAAUUAUGUUCACUUUCAUCAAGAUGCCUCUUGGUGCUCCCUGUAUGUCUAGCACAACCAUCUUGAACUACUUCCUCCUCAACACCAUCCUGCCAUUUCUGAUAAUCUUUGCUGCUACCUGACCUUGCUUUGCUAUUUUCGCUACUUCUUGCAGCCUUGGAGUCCUCUCCACCAUCAAGUUCUUGCAGAGCAGACUGUUCAACACAAGAACUUAAUUUUUUUUUCUUUGCAGAAUGAUGUGCAUUACCAUCUUUUAUGCUAUCAUUGGUGGUUACUUCAUUCUCAGUCAUAUCAUCCUUUUCCAUCCCAGAACUUCCUUCAGCGACCACAGGCUCAUCAGGCACAGUAACAUCCUUGUCCUCAAGGCUCAGCUCCCUUGCAUCCCUAACUGCAGUGGGAGAUGACACCACCGGGCUAUGUUUAUCAUCCAAGCUUUCAACUGAAUCUUCCUCAAAAUUAUCAUGUAAUCUUUUAUCCCGUGUACCACUUGGAGUAACAUGAGGAGAUAUGUCAGUUGUUCUUCCCUGUCCCCGCCUUUCCUCAUGAUGAGGGCCAAAAUCCCCACCAGAUAACACAGGUGGCCCCCUAGAAUCAGCACGAUAUUGACAUGGUGCUUCAGGAUGGAAGGGCAAAAUCCCAUCUCCCUCAGGUAUGUUACUGCGACCAGAAUCAAUAUAUGGUGCCCUCCUUCCACCCUUUCGAUUAUUGUAAGCUUGUGGAAAAUCAUCGCAAUAUUCAGUUUCUAUUGGUGCAAUGUCAUCUUCAGGUGUGCGGCUUCCUCUGAAGUCAUCUCUCGGUGGAUCAUUGUUCGCUCCAUCCAGACCACCAUUUCCUGUGGAGGAAUCAUCAUCUAGAGAGUCCUGCAAGACAAUCUCAAUGAUUGCAUCAGAAUCACGAAUUCGGGGUGGUCGAGUAUCAAUAGAGGGUAGACGUUCGCCAUAACCUCCUUCAACUUGUAUUGCCCGUCCAGUUGGUAAUGGUGGCCGCACACGAGGAGGUCCUUUCAUUAAAUCACUUUGUCCAACAUCUGAUUUCCCAAUAUUUGAAUUGUCAGCUGGCAUCUCAUGAAUACCUGCUGCUGCUGCUGCUAAUUCUGGUGGCAAAUCUGGAUCAUAUUCCUGCUCUGCCCGCCCACUCUCAUAUACACGAAUUUUGCUUUGCAUGGUAGUCUCUAGCCGGUGUUGUUCCAGUUGUUUGCAAUAAUCUUUCCAACUUUCCUCAUUCAAACCAAAGUUGAAGAAGUCAGAAGUAUCAACGCCAGGAUAUUUCCAUGGCUUUUCUUCAAAACUAUCAAUGUCAACAUCAAAAAUGGUCUUGUGGGAAGGAAGGGUGAAUUCCAGUCCACCACCAAAGCCCCGG
rnacentral:misc_RNA from 1 species